GACGGACGCUGGCGGCGUGCUUAACACAUGCAAGUCGAACGGUAAGGCCCUUCGGGGUACACGAGUGGCGAACGGGUGAGUAACACGUGGGUGAUCUGCCCUGCACUUCGGGAUAAGCCUGGGAAACUGGGUCUAAUACCGGAUAGGACCACUGCCUGCAUGGGUGGUGGUGGAAAGCUUUUGCGGUGUGGGAUGGGCCCGCGGCCUAUCAGCUUGUUGGUGGGGUGAUGGCCUACCAAGGCGACGACGGGUAGCCGGCCUGAGAGGGUGACCGGCCACGCUGGGACUGAGAUACGGCCCAGACUCCUACGGGAGGCAGCAGUGGGGAAUAUUGCACAAUGGGCGCAAGCCUGAUGCAGCGACGCCGCGUGAGGGAUGACGGCCUUCGGGUUGUAAACCUCUUUCAGCACCGACGAAGCGCAAGUGACGGUAGGUGCAGAAGAAGGACCGGCUAACUACGUGCCAGCAGCCGCCGCCG
rnacentral:rRNA from 1 species